CCAGGAUCUGUAUGAGAGCCACAGAACUAGCCCUCAGAUCUACCCUCACGGCACUGACUUCCUUAGGCAGAGGUGUGGCCUGCUUAUGCCCACAUUACCCCCCAGCCAAGAGAGAGACCAAAGAGCCUGCGGAAUGCCUCUGCUCCCUGCCUCUACCUUCAGGUCCAUAAAAAGAAGAAUAGAGACAGCCCAGAGUCCCCAGGUCUGUGAAGGGUCAGGAGGGGUCAAGAAAGGAGUAGGGAGGCUGAAGGAUACAGGGCAUUUGAAUCCAAAUCACUGCUCUGGGCCAGGGAAUAGAGCCAGCACACCGAGGUAGAAGGGACUCUGGAAGGGGGACCUUCCAGUCCCCCGACCCCAAAGCUCAGGGUGGAGGAGGGUAGAACGAGGGAGCAGAGUGUCUAUAAUUAUUUUUAUCUUUUAUUUUUGGAAUCUAGCAGUACCUGGCAGCAGGGAGGGGAUGAUACAGUGGGGGAAAGCAUCUGACAAGGCCAGUUAGAGCAGAGGUCGGGAAGGAUGGAGACUUCCUGCUUUGGAAAGCUGGAAAGCAGGCAGGGACUGGUUGCCACUCCAGGUCACUAGCUGGGCCUAUUCAUUCCUUUCACAAUCCUGACCCAUCCUCCUCUGGACUCACUGUGCCUCAGUUUCUUCCCCUCGAUGGAAUGAGAAAAUAGCAGCACCCGCCACAGCCAAGAGAUGAAUUCUGAGCACUUACCACGGGCACUUUAUGGACAUAAAAUACCUCUCGCUGUGGGACAGAUAACCAGGGCACCAGAGUAGCGGUGAAGAGAUGUGAGGCUUAGAGGAGUCACAGGCUUCAGAGUACAAGUUCCCCUCUGCCUCCCAGCUGGACAGUGCCUGACACCAAGGAGCUGAGAACCUUCUGAUCCACACCUUACCCAUACCUCACCUCCAGACCUCCUGGCUCCAGGCAGGAGCCCAGAGGAUGUCAGGAGUGGAGGGGGAAAGAACCUUCAACAAAACGCACUCUGAGUAGCGCCAGCGGUCAUGGGUCUGAUGCAAACAAUACGGAACACAAGUAAGACCUGAGCUGGAAAGCCGACCCGGAAGGCUUGUUCUUCCCGAGAGCAUGACUUUCCUGCCUGGCCCAGCUGGUGGAAGGGGCAAAGCAGCAGUACUGACCCCCAGCCUCUUCUCUCUGGCCCUGUUCUUCAUCACUCCUUCUGCUCCAAUCUUGGAGAACAAGAUGCACCUGACCACCAACACCAUUCACAUUUCCUUGGUGGAAAGAAAGGAACAGAGAAGUGAAGAACAGAAGAUGCCUCCUCCAAGGUCAAAUGCCCAGGUCUCUUGAUCUUGGCACAGGGUGGGGAUUGGGCAAUAGGCAUCAGGUGACUUCCCUCUAGAAAUUCUAGCGAGCUGGGGCAGUAGACUUGGGGACACUUAGAAUACGCCCCUUUAAUGCCACCAAAUAAAGACCUUUGGGGGAAGGUCGUUCUCUUAUGAACAUAAAUCUAUGAGUUGGAAGUCUCAUUCCCCUGGUCUUCCUCACCCCCAAAGAGGCAUGGGGUAAAGAGGCUUGGGGACAUAGCCCAGCAAACUAGUGGGGACUGGUACCCCCUCUCACCUUAUGACGUGUGUGGACCUGGCCAGUGCCCCUCUGAUCAUAAUUAGUGUAAUUAUUAUUUACUUUGUGUAUUUGUUACACCGUGUGUGUGAUUGCCUUUGUUUGUUAAGGGUGUCUGCGGAGUACGGGGCUGACAGGGGCACUGGAAUGCCGGGAAAAGACCUCUUCACUGAGAUCAAGGCUUCCUGAAGGGAACCAUUGCAAAAAGGCCAUCAGGCAGUUUUCAAGUUAUGUGACAGAGGGCAAAGAUGGCCAUAGGGUGCUCUGAGUUUUGGGAUGGUCACAUGACACAAUCCAGCACUUGAACCUGAAAAAAGAAAAAUAAAAGCAGUCAAAGAGUUUAGAAUUCAGCAUUAAGCUCUUCUCCCUAAUCAAGCGCCAUGUUUACACCUUGGACACCAGGAAGCAGAAGAUCUGAGGGAGAAUGAAACUUUGUGCUUAAGGAGUAAGAAGAUGGGGGUCUCUGGGAUGAGGGCUGGGGCUUGCAGCCAAGGAAGGUUGGGCUGAGGAUGGGAAAGAAAGGGAACCCAGACCAAGUCUUCACUGGAGGCUUGAUCCUGAGCAGUCCCAAAGGUUACAAAACGCUCUCCCGGCCUCCACAGAGCAGAAGAUCCAAGCUCUCUUGAGAUAAUUCAAAUAAUAUCUACCCUAUUUUCCUACAGUUCCCUGACCCGAGGUUUCCUCAACAAAAUCCACAAGCCAACCCAACUUUGAACUUCCACUGUUCCAAGAAUGGUUACGCAUCUUAAUACUUUCAUUCUACCAUAAAAAAUGCCUCCCAUGUCCAGGGAGCACACUUCCUAGGGCAUACAAAUUGGUGCGGGAGGCGGGGGGGGGGCGGGGAGUAGCAAAAGAGUCUUGCCUGUAACUGCAAGUAGGAAAGCUCCUGUGACAUCAGUCUGACCCAGAAUGGGGGACAACACAGGUUCAAUGGGCCACUCCCUGCCCUGUCCGUUCUGUUAGCAGACUGGCCCCCCCUCAGACCAAGUUGAGGGAAGACUAAAGAGCUACACAUUGUGUCCUCCCCAUGAGGAGCUGCUCUACGCACACCUACCCCUACAUUCUGCCCCAGGGAAAAACAGAUCCCCCAGCCCAUCCAAGGUCCGCUGCUUCCUACCUUGAGAGAGCAGCAGGAAGUUACAAGAUGAGGCUCACACUCAAACACCUGCAACCUAAUGGACGAGUAGCUGCCCUACUCUUUGUCUCUGCCCACAUCAGGGGUCCCAAGCUAAAAGCCAGCGGGCAGGGGCAUUUACAGCCUCUGGUGUAUGGUGGGGCAGAAGCUGGGAAGUCAAGGCAAAGCCACAAAGCCAGCUUUCCCGUCAGUGAACUUGGUGUAAGGGAACAAUCGGGAUGACUCCUACCUAUUUUCACUCUCAGAAUCCCCCAAAGCAUUUGCAUAUGUGGUGUACACACACACACACUCUCUCAAAUUAGUACACUCAGCCCCCUACCCUCUCACUGUAACUUACUCAGGAAAAAGAAAGUACUUCUACUAUGAAUCACCAAGUAAAAUUAAGAGUUAAUAAUUACUGAAUGAUUACAAUAUAUGAUAAGCAAACUGUGCGCCUUACAUAAAUAUGACAGUAUCAGUUCUCACAGCAAUCUUCACAAUAAGGUUGCUAUUGGCACAGAAUUAAAAACAGUGGUUAAGAAUGAUUAAGUAAUUUGCCCAGGGUCUUGCAGCCAGCUGAGCUAGUGUGGCAGAACAAGGAAUUAUACUGAAGUAGUUGCUAUACAGUAUUUCAUUCUAUUUAUAGUGAUAUAAGAGAUAGAAAAAUUAAAGGCAGGGAUAACUGAGAAAGGAAAAGAAAUAAAGAGAAAGCUGGGAGUACUUUAGGCUCAGUGGAAGUCCAAAAUUGCAAAACUCGGUAUUUUUUCAGUCCCUUUGGAAGGAUAUACAGGAAGACUGUGUUGACGUGCUGCAAGAGAGGGGGACAUUAGAUUUUGGUGGAGUCCAAUAAUCAGAGAUGAGUGACACUGUCAGGGGGUCCUCAUGAAAGAGAACAGGGAAAAACAUUUAUUAUAGAAUAUAGUCUUAUAUUCUUAUUUAUAUUAGGUCUUUCCUUCCACCUGAUCUGUUUCUCAUGUCAGACAUGACAACAGGACUCAACACCAAGAAGUGCUGUUAUUGCAUCUUCCUUCCUUAUAGCCCUCACCCCCACAGAAGCUUCUAGCCUUGUAUCUUCAGAAGUAAAUUCCCAGGAUUUGGGGUGGGGGGAAGGGCGGUUUAUAGUGAUGGUGGAGAAAAACAGAAUGAUCCUAGAGAACCAUAAAAAGGUGCAGAUUUACAGCGGAAGAAGCUGGCUCUCUCCGCAUCUUUUAUAGACUCCCUCAUUAAGAGCUUCCAGGUAUGCAGAGAAUGUCACAGCUUCAAAACAGGGAAAAGAAGCCUGGAGUCAGCUAACUACAUCUGGAUCCUGGAUUAGCUACACUAAAGAGACUGGAGGAUAGGAAGGAAGGGUACUUGGAUCCCAGAUAAAGAACUGCAAGGCUGGGUGCUUAUUCUGCCUCUCAAAGGACUUACUAUUUUAGGACUGAAUUAGUAAAAAACAUAGGAAUCCUGAACUAGUCAUGCUCAGAAAGUAUAUAUGGAAUGAUUACAGUGAGACAGGAAGAGGAGGAUUUGGUGAUCAGGCUUGGAGGUGAGAGACUUCUGACCAACAUAAGAACAGCUGCUGGAAUAGGAUGAAAAGGGCUAAUAAAAAACCCACACAAGCCUGAUGAGCAGUUCUGGGCUUCCCUGGUAGCCCAGCUGGUAAAGAAUCCACCUGCAAUGCGGGAAGCCUGAGUUUUAUCCCUGGGUUGGGAAGAUUCCCUGGAAAAGGGGACGGCUACCCACUCCAGUAUUUUGGCCUGGAAAAUUCCAUGGACUGUAUAGUCCAUGAAGUUGCAAAGAGUCAGACAUGACUAAGCGACUUUCACACACAGCUGUGUCAAAAAUAUGGGGAAAGUGAGUUAAGUAUGGAGAAGAAUGAUUAGGCUUUAGGAAGAGAAUCCUGGGGACAGGGGUUGGGGGUGCAAAGUCUGAAUACCUUACUGAAACAUUACAGAGGAUAAGGAGACAAGGUGAAGAAAACUUCUGAAGGACUCAGCGCUCCACUCCUCUUUAUAAGCGUCUGCUCUGUUCUUUUACCUCUUAUUUUGGGUAGAAAACCCUUACUGAAUCUAUAAUCUCUGUAAAGAUACAAAACUGAACUAAUUCUCUCUCUGGUUCCGCUAGCUUUAGGAUCAGGGUCUAACGAAAAGGGAAGCAGAUAGCAGAGCCCAAGAGAGAAGAGAAGGAAGAAGUUUAAUCAACCUUCCCUUUGGCGCAUUUCUCCAAAGUCUUAGAAUGGGGCAAAAUUGACAACAAAUGGGCAGUCUUUGCAUCUGCUCCCCAAGACACUGUUUUUCCUAAAGCAUCUAAACUUAGGUCCCUGUCCUCCAGGAACCAAAGAGAGUUUGUGGAAAGAGGUUCUUGUUAGGAAGGUGAUCAAACAUUAUUCUUUUGUUAAUUACAAAACCAGACAGAGGUGUUAGUAGAAACGGGAACAAUGAAUUAAUUACACCACAGCAACAUGAGAUCUGGUCAUGAAACCAAAGUCUUCAGGUAAGGUGCCAGGUUCUUAAGUUUUACUACCAGAACCCAAACAAAGCCCCAUCUUAUAUAGAUGUAUAGUACUAAAGAUUAAGAGGAGAAACCCUAUACCAACAUGUCCAAAAAGAUUAAGUAGCAGGUCUCAGAUCUACAUGAAAUUCAAACCCAAAUAAGCAGCCCUGCUUAGGUAUAGCCAAAUCCUAAGUAGGAGGCUUGGCAAGGAAAAUGGAUGUUAGUAAUAUCCAAGAAAAACUGCCACCAAAACUGCAAAAGCAUCUUUCUGCAACAGAAGACAAACUAAACUAGCAUAGGGCUUGAUCAGAAAAUAGAAGGCUCUAGUCUACAGCUUAUUGUCCCAACAAUCUAGGCAAUAAUUUUUAACACCUCUGACAUCCUGUCAUACUCUGAAUCCCCACAUACUUUCUUCCAGUUCUGAGGGGUAGCCAGCCAAACUGCUUUCCUGAACUGCAUAACCAACAGGAUUCCACAUGUUGGCUUCAAAUGCAACCAGUUAAAUCACUCUUGAAAUUAGGGCCCUCCCAGACUCCAGAAUAGGCACUCUGCACUUCAUUCCAUAACAGACUACCAAUCCCUAGCCCUAGUGUUUAUAUACUUUGCACCUCCUAAAACCUACAGUAUUGUAUUUUAUUCUAAUGGGUCAUUUCAACCUGUUGAAGCAAAGAUUCAGGGUGAAACUUGGCCUCUUCGUGGAGAAUAAAGAAGUAAAAGGAUGCCUGUGAGUAUGAGAGAAGGAAAUAAAUAGGCUUAAAGGCACAUACUCAAUCCUUUUCCUCAUUCUCUUUUCUAAAGGAUAAAGGCAUUAUUGCUAAUUCUCUAUAUUUGGUGAAUAUCUCCUUAUCUGGUCUAAUCUGGCUCUACGAACUCAAAGGAGCAUCUGAGAAAACAAUGUUCUUUUUUCUAUUUUUUUUUAUUAACAAGCAAAAUAAUAAUUAAAAAACAACAACAACAAAAACCUUAAAGUUGGAACUGCAAUAA